GCGGAUGUGGCGAAAUUGGUAGACGCACCAGAUUUAGGUUCUGGCGGGAGACCGUGGGGGGGGUUCGAGUCCCUCCAUCCGCA
rnacentral:tRNA from 1 species